rnacentral:rRNA from 1 species
AACGAACGCUGGCGGCAGGCUUAACACAUGCAAGUCGAGCGCCCCGCAAGGGGAGCGGCAGACGGGUGAGUAACACGUGGGGAUCUGCCCAAUGGUACGGAAUAGCUCCGGGAAACUGGAAAUAAUACCGUAUGUGCCCGCAAGGGGAAAGAUUUAUCGCCAUUGGAUGAACCCGCGUCGGAUUAGCUAGUUGGUGUGGUAAAGGCGUACCAAGGCGACGAUCCGUAGCUGGUCUGAGAGGAUGAUCAGCCACACUGGGACUGAGACACGGCCCAGACUCCUACGGGAGGCAGCAGUGGGGAAUAUUGGACAAUGGGCGCAAGCCUGAUCCAGCCAUGCCGCGUGAGUGAUGACGGCCUUCGGGUUGUAAAGCUCUGUCUUCAGGGACGAUAAUGACGGUACCUGAGGAGGAAGCCACGGCUAACUACGUGCCAGCAGCCGCCGUAAAAC